GGGUGAGGAUGCGGAUGGUUAUUAGAGAACAACUUAUACUAAGCGUGACCAAUACGAGAAACCACUUGGAUGUCUACUCACUCGUAGUGGUCUUCUCGAUGCUGCAGUGGUGCCAGUGGUCCUUUGACCUGCGGUAUCAUCGACUGUUUGUAGUGAGGCUACUAAGUUUGACUGUAUAUUUUCUUGAUCCCUAGCCAUUCGAGUCCUUACUAUAUAUGUUGGCUACAAUAGGUUUAGGUUCGCUAUUCGGAGUAGGAUGCACUUAGAUAGAAUUUAUCGAUCUUGAUAG
rnacentral:lncRNA from 1 species